AAAUUUGAAAUCUGGCCUCCCCCGCGGGGCCCGAGUUGUAACUUGCAGAGGAUGCUUCUGGCGAGGUGCCUUCCGAGUUCCCUGGAACGGGACGCCACAGAGGGUGAGAGCCCCGUCUGGUCGGACGCCGAGCCUCUGUGAAGCUCCUUCGAC
rnacentral:rRNA from 1 species